UACGGAGGGUGCAAACGUUGCUCGGAAUCAUUGGGCGUAAAGCGCCCGUAGGCGGCUCGUUAAGUCGGAUGUGAAAGCCCUGGGCUCAACCCAGGAAGUGCAUACGAAACUGGCGAGCUUGAAUAUGGAAGAGGGUCGCGGAAUUCCCGGUGUAGAGGUGAAAUGCGUAGAUAUCUGGAGGAACACCGGUGGCGAAGGCGGCAUCCUGGACCGGCAUUGACGCUGAGGAGCGAAAGCCAGGGGAGCAAACGGG
rnacentral:rRNA from 1 species